UACAGGAGGCCUCGAGCGUUGUUCGGAAUUACUGGGCGUAAAGGGAAUGUAGGUGGUCAUGUAAGUCAGAUGUGAAAGCCCCUGGGCUUAACUUGGGGAAGUGCAUUUGAUACUGCUUGGCUGGAGUGGCGAGAGAGGAAAGCGGAAUUCCAGGUGUAGGAGUGAAAUCCGUAGAUAUCUGGAGGAAUACCGAUGGUGAAGACAGCUUUCUGGCUCGCAACUGACACUGAGAUUCGAAAGCUUGGGUAGCAAACAUGG
rnacentral:rRNA from 1 species